rnacentral:rRNA from 1 species
UACGUAGGGUGCGAGCGUUGUCCGGAUUUAUUGGGCGUAAAGAGCUUGUAGGCGGCUCGUCGCGUCGGGUGUGAAAACUUGCGGCUUAACCGCAAGCCUGCACCCGAUACGGGCGGGCUAGAGUUCGGCAGGGGAGACUGGAAUUCCUGGUGUAGCGGUGGAAUGCGCAGAUAUCAGGAGGAACACCGAUGGCGAAGGCAGGUCUCUGGGCAUUAACUGACGCUGAGGAGCGAAAGCAUGGGGAGCGAACAGG